GUUUUUAUAGUUGAAUACAAUACUGGGUUUUCGAGUCAGGGGUUUCGGUUAAAGUCCGUAUAAAAAUA
rnacentral:tRNA from 1 species